GAUCAGCAUUAAAAUUUAUACGGUCGCACUGAACAUGGAUCUUACUGCGUGUCUUGCAGAUCUCUCAAUGUUCGUUUUGUUCCUGUUUAUUUUUGGACUAGUUGUUUUGAGGUUUCGACGUUUCACGUUUCCCAUAAUUGGCUAGAGACUGGUCUCAUUGUUGAAAUUGUGGUUGUGGUUGUGGCAUAAUUUAAUGGAUGGAUGACGGCAUGGAUGGAAUGGAAUGGAAUGAAAGGGGGAAAAUAGGGAAC